rnacentral:rRNA from 1 species
GCUUGUCUCAAAGAUUAAGCCAUGCAUGUGUAAGUAUCAGAAGUCUGAACUUCAAAACUGCGAAUGGCUCAUUAUAUCAGUUAUAGUUUAUUUGAUAGUACCUUACUACUUGGAUAACCGUAGUAACUCUAGAGCUAAUACAUGCGCAAAUUCCCGACUGUCGCAAGGCGGAAAGGAUGUAUUUAUUAGAUCCAACCAGCCCGGUUCGCCGGAGUCCCUGGUGAGUCAUAAUAACUGAGCGAAUCGCAUGGCCUUGUGCCGGCGAUGGUUCAUUCAAGUUUCUGCCCUAUCAGCUUUCGAUGGUAGGGUAUUGGCCUA